AACAAACGCUGGCGGCGUGGAUAGGACAUGCAAGUCGAACGGGACAGGUAGCAAUAUCUGUCUAGUGGCGAACGGGUGCGUAACACGUGGGCAACAUGCCUGGAAGAGCGGGAUAGCCCGGGGAAACUCGGAUUAAUACCGCAUGUGACAACGGGGCGGCUUCGCCCUGUUUUCAAAGGUGGGGACCGCAAGGCCUGCCGCUUCCAGAUUGGCCCGCGUCCUAUCAGCUAGUUGGCGGGGUAAAAGCCCACCAAGGCGACGACGGGUAGCUGGUCUGAGAGGACGACCAGCCACACUGGAACUGAGACACGGUCCAGACACCUACGGGUGGCAGCAGUCGAGAAUCUUUCACAAUGGGGGAAACCCUGAUGGAGCGACGCCGCGUGGAGGAUGAAGGUCUUCGGACUGUAAACUCCUGUCAUGAAAGAACAAGCGAUGCGGGUGAACAGCCCGCAAAGUUGAUAGUAUUUCAAGAGGAAGGGACGGCUAACUUCGUGCCAGCCGCCGCCGUAACAC
rnacentral:rRNA from 1 species